UACGUAGGUGGCAAGCGUUGUCCGGAUUUACUGGGCGUAAAGGGCGCGUAGGCGGUCAGCACAAGUCAGCUGUGAAAUCUCCGGGCUUAACUCGGAAAGGUCAACUGAUACUGUGCGACUAGAGUGCAGAAGGGGCAACUGGAAUUCUCGGUGUAGCGGUGAAAUGCGUAGAUAUCGAGAGGAACACCUGCGGCGAAGGCGGGUUGCUGGGCUGACACUGACGCUGAUGCGCGAAAGCCAGGGGAGCGAACGGG
rnacentral:rRNA from 1 species